AUGGAUGAGUACGGGCUGAGCUGCCUGGAGGAGGAGCAGCUGCUGUUGGUGGUGACCAGCAGGUUCAGGAAUGGAGACUGCUCUGGCAACAGAGAGAUUCUCUGCAUGGAUGAGUACGGGCUGAGCUGCCUGGAGGAGGAGCAGCUGCUGUUGGUGGUGACCAGCAGGUUCAGGAAUGGAGACUGCUCUGGCAACAGAGAGAAACUGAAGAAAUCCCUCUUCAUGUUAAAACUGUUCACCAACAAAUUCAGGUAUGCCGUGUUUGACUUUGGCUCCAGCAAGUGCCCUCAGUUCUGAGCCUUUACUCCUGACCUCAACCAGAAGCUCCCACCUGGGGGCCUCUCAGCUCAUCCCGAUGGGGGAAGAGGAUGAGCUCAGUGGGCAGGAGGAUGCCUUCUGCAGCUGGGCCGUGCAAACCUUCAAGGCAGCCCAUGAGACGUUUGAUGUCCAAGGCAAACAGCACAUUCAGAUCCCCAAGCUCUACACCUCCAGUGUGACCAGGGACCUGCACCACUUCAGGCUCGUGCAGGACUCACAGCCUUUGGACCUCAGCAAAGCCCUCAGCAGCAUGCACGCCAAGAACAUGUUCACCAUGAGGCUCAAAUCUCGGCGGAAUCUACAGAGUCCGCCAUCCAGCCAUGGUGCCCAGUCCACCUGAGGCUUCUUUUUCCUUCCCCUGGUGGAACUUUCUUAUGGGGAUGGCCAAGGCCUGAACUACGGCUGGGUGAGCACCUUGGGGUUUGCCCAGGCAUCCAGCCGGCCCUGGUCCAAGGCAUCCUGGAGCAUGUGGUGGAAGGCCCUGCACCCCACCAGACAGUGCGCCUGGAGUCCAAGGACGAAAGCGGCAGCUACCAGUUCAGUGACAAGAGGCUGCCCCCCUGCUCGCUCAGCCAGGCCCUCACCUACUUCCUGGAUAUCACCAACCCCCCAACCCAGCUGCUGCUCCAAAAGCUGGCCCAGGUGGCCACAGAAGCGACUGAGAGACAGAGGCUGGAGGCCCUGUGCCAGCCCUCAGAGUACAGCAAGUGGAAGUUCACCAACAGCCCCACGUUCCUGGAGGUGCUGGAGGAGUUCCCGUCCCUGUGGGUGUCUGCUGGCUUCCUGCUCUCCCAGCUCCCCAUUCUGAAGCCCAGGUUCUACUCCAUCAGCUCCUCCCGGGAUCACACGCCCACGGAGAUCCACCUGACUGUGGCCAUGCUCAUGUCCCACACCCGAGGAGAGCCCGGGGCAGAGGCUCUGGAGCAGCCACUCAGCUUCAGCUCCCUCAUCAGCGGCUUCCACCUCCCCGAGGACCCCUCCCAUCCUUGCAUCCUCGUCGGGCCUGGCACAGGCAUCGCCCCCUUCCGCAGUUUCUGGCAGCAGCGGCUCCAUGACUCCCAGCACAAGGGAGUGCGGGGAGGCCGCAUGACCCUGGUGUUCCGGUGCCGCCGCCCAGAUGAGGACCACUCUACCGCGAGGAGAUGCUGGAGAUGGCCCAGAAGGGGUGCUGCAUGCGAUGCACACAGCCUACUCCCGCCUGCCUGGCAAGCCCAAGGUCUAUGUUCAGGACAUCCUGCGGCAGCAGCUGGCCAGCGAGGUGCUCCGUGUGCUCCACGAGGAGCCGGGCCACCUCUAUGUUUGUGGGGAUGUGCGCAUGGCCUGGGAUGUGGCCCACACCCUGAAGCAGCUGGUGGCUGCCAAGCUGAACUUGAGUGAGGAGCAGGUCGAGGACUAUUUCUUUCAGCUCAAGAGCCAGAAGUGCUUUCAUGAAGAUACCUUUGGUGCUGUAUUUACCUACAAAGCCAGAACGGACAAGGCGGCAGUGCAGCCCAGGAGCCUGGAGAUGUCAGCCCUCUGACGGCCCACAGGAGGGGUUAAAGCUGCCGGCACAGAACUUAACCAAGGAGCCAGCUCUGCAUUAUCUGAGGUCACAGGGCCUGGGGAGAUGGAGGAAAGUGGUAUCCCCCAGCCUCACAUCUUAUUUUUUCACUUCGUUCCCCAUCAAGUCCUUUACUUGACCUCCUACCAAGUAGCACCCUGGAUUGAUCGGAGCCCCCUCUCUCAAGCUGGGGCCUCCCUGGUCCUCUGGAGACGAAAUCUUCAAUGACAGGCCUGGCAAGUGGGUGAAAGAUGGAACCCACUGCUGAGUGCACCACUUCAAGUGACCACCAGGAAGUGCUGUUGCGCCGCUGUGUAUUUAACUGCCCUGGGUACAAUUGUUUAUGCCUCUGUUUAAAAAACUAACACCCUAGUCUGUUCCCAAUGGCCACCUGGGCCUUCCCUGUAUGAUUCCUUGAUGGAGAUAUUUAUAUGAUGGAAUUUUA